rnacentral:rRNA from 1 species
UACAGAGGGUGCGAGCGUUGUUCGGAAUUAUUGGGCGUAAAGCGCGUGUAGGCGGUCUGUUAUGUCGGGUGUGAAAGCCCUCAGCUUAACUGAGGAAGUGCCCCGGAAACGGCGAGACUGGAGUACUGGAGAGGGUCGUGGAAUUCCCGGUGUAGCGGUGAAAUGCGUAGAGAUCGGGAGGAACACCAGAGGCGAAGGCGGCGACCUGGACAGUUACUGACACUCAACUACGAAAGCGAUGGGGAAGCCAAACAGGGGAAUUAAGAUG